rnacentral:lncRNA from 1 species
AUGCUACUGCAACGGAGAGAGAUGCUAGCAGAUGGAAAUCGCACGAGCGCAGUCAGUAGCAGAGAAGCGGAAAUCGUUGAACUAUUGUGUUGGUCGAAGGUUCAGUGGCGUGAGGGAAUUGAAGAUGAUGCACUAAGGGUUGAUGAAGAUGAGUGGUCGCAUGGAAGUUUGUGGUUUGGACGUAGCAGUGUGUUGACGAAAGUUAAUAGAGGGAUUAUGCGCGGUUAG